UACGAAGGGGGCUAGCGUUGCUCGGAAUUACUGGGCGUAAAGCGCACGUAGGCGGCUUUGUAAGUUAGAGGUGAAAGCCCGGGGCUCAACCCCGGAAUUGCCUUUAAGACUGCAUCGCUUGAAUCCGGGAGAGGUGAGUGGAAUUCCGAGUGUAGAGGUGAAAUUCGUAGAUAUUCGGAAGAACACCAGUGGCGAAGGCGGCUCACUGGACCGGCAUUGACGUUGAGGUGCGAAAGCGUGGGGAGCAAACAGG
rnacentral:rRNA from 1 species